CGGAGAAGGAGCCUGAGACGCGUGGUUCCCCACACUGGCACUGAGACACGGGCCAGACUCCUACGGGGGGCAGCAGUGAGGAAUAUUGCACAAUGGGCGAAAGCCAGAUGCAGUGACGCCGCGUGGAGGAUGAAGGCCUUCGGGUUGUAAACUCCUUUUCCGGGGGACGAGGAAGGACGGUACCCCGGGAAUAAGCCCCGGCUAACUACGUGCCAGCAGCCGCGGUGAUACGUAGGGGGCGAGCGUUAUCCGGAUUCAUUGGGCGUAAAGAGCUCGUAGGCGGGGCCUCAAGUCGAGUGUGAAAGUUCCCGGCUUAACUGGGAGAGGUCAUUCGAUACUGGGGCUCUUGAGGGCAGGAGAGGGAGGUGGAAUUCCCGGUGGAGCGGUGGAAUGCGAAGAGAUCGGGAGGAACACCAGUGGCGAAGGCGGCCUCCUGGCCUGUGCCUGACGCUGAGGAGCGAAAGCUAGGGGAGCAAACGGGCUUAGAUAUCCCGGUAGUCCUAGCCGUAAACGAUGGAUACUAGGUGUUGGGGGUAUUGAUCCCCUCAGUGCCGCAGCUAACGCGUUUAAGUAUCCCGCCU
rnacentral:rRNA from 1 species